UACGUAGGUGGCAAGCGUUGUCCGGAUUUACUGGGCGUAAAGAGCGCGCAGGCGGUCGUUCAAGUCGCGUGUGAAAGCCCCCGGCUCAACUGGGGAGGGUCACGCGAUACUGAUCGACUCGAAGGCAGGAGAGGGUAGUGGAAUUCCCGGUGUAGUGGUGAAAUGCGUAGAUAUCGGGAGGAACACCAGUGGCGAGGCGACUACCUGGCCUGUUUCUUGACGCUGAGGCGCGAAAGCUAGGGGAGCAAACGGG
rnacentral:rRNA from 1 species